rnacentral:rRNA from 1 species
UACGGGGGGGGCAAGCGUUGUUCGGAAUUACUGGGCGUAAAGGGCGCGUAGGCGGUCCGUUAAGUUAGAUGUGAAAACUCUGGGCUCAACCCAGAGCCUGCAUCUAAUACUGACGGGCUAGAGUUCUGGAGGGGGUAGCGGAAUUCCUGGUGUAGCGGUGAAAUGCGUAGAUAUCGGGAGGAACACCUGUGGCGAAAGCGGCGCACUGGACCACAUCUGACGCUGAGGCGCGAAAGCUAGGGGAGCAAACAGG